CCCGUGACGUCCCUGAAAACCUUUGGUGCAGUGAAAGGACCUCCAGGCGAUGGAGAUUCGGUUGCGCGGGGGAAGGGGAAGGACAGACCAAAUUAGUCCAUUUCCAUUGGGUUCGGGUCGGAUGUCUUGGGACACUUGCCCGGCCAAAAACGUAUCUUUGCCGAUGGCAGUCAGUACUGAAUCUGCUACCGAAAGAGAUCGGGUGAAUUUUCAGCGUUUAUAUAAACGGUGGCUAGCCAAGUGUAGAGGACGCGAAAACGAAACCAAACCGCCGCGUCCUGAGACCGCAACUGGUGAGGACUCGCCCUGGGGCCUCAGACAAUUCUUGCAGCGUUUUUCACGUAGUCGGGACCGUGGUUCGUGGUUCGGGUGGAAUCCCGCGGCAGCCUGCCUGGCAGAGCCUGAUUCGGUGUGAAAAAUGAAAGAAGCUGUGGGGAAAAUCAGGGACGCGGGUUGAAAUCGCGAUCGGACGGCAGCUCGAGCUUGCUGCCAUCCGAUCGAAAAUCGACUCGGUGGAUGAAUCGUGGCGCUCGCGGACAGCGGAACAGGGGCCGGGAAACCCUCAGCGCUGACUCUAUGCACCGGGAAUCGUGGCGAGGCUGAGUGCCCGCGCCACAGCGAGGCUGGCGGCCGGCGGUGUAGAGUUGUCGGGAAUUCAGCCGGCAGGCGGAGCUGCGUUUGGCGUCAGAAGCGUUUCUGCUUCCGCCCGGGUCUUCUUCAUUGGCUCCAGUGAGAGUGAGAAACUAUCAGGCAGGCGUGGACUGGAGUCUUACCCGCAGUAGGGGCGCUCGUAGGGACCUUAGCUGCGUCGUGACCGGUGAAAGGAGAGAGAUGGGCGGCCGUCAGAGAGUCCUGACCCGUGACGUCACUGAAAACCAUUGGUGCAGUGAAGGGAGCGCCGGCGCGAUGGGGAUUAGGUUGUGGGAAAAAAAUAACAAAUUCGUCCAUUUCGAUUCGGUUCGGGUCGGAUGUCUUGGGACACUUGCCCGACCAAAACGUAUCUUUGCUGAUGGCAGUCGUUACUUGAAUCUGCUACUGAAAGAAAUUGGGUGAAUUUUCAGCGUUGAUAUAAAAGCCAAGUGUAGAGAACUCGAAAACGAAACGAAAUCGCGGCGUCCUAAUCGCAUCUGGUGCACACUCAAACCCGGGCGUCAGCCGUUUCUUGCAACGUUUUGCUCACGUCCUCGGGACCGUGGUUCGGGUGGAAUCCCGCGGGAGAGCCACUUUGUAGAGCCUGAUUCCAGCCCAAAACGAAAGGACCAAAGCAGAAAAUCACGGAUGCAGUUAGAAAUUGCAGUCGGAUUGCAGCUCGGGCCUGCUGACAGCGGUUCAGACCGACUGACAAAUCCCAUACAUGCGUGGAGUGUGGAUUACCGGCGGGCAUUGCUAGUCCUGGUGUUGUGCACCGAGAAUCUCCACUUAGGCUGAGUGCUGGCGCCACAGGGAUCCCUGAGCACUCAGUUUGAUUAUUUCCUGUCUUCUACUCUUCCUGAUUUUGUGACCUUGAGGCAGCCUGAUCUACAGGAAAUCCCAGGACAGCAUGGACUGCUGCACAGAGAAGCCCUAUCUCGAAAAACCAUGAAAAAGGAAUAAAUUAUUUCUCCGAGUAGUAUUUUGUGUCUCAACUUCAAUUCCUCAUGCCCAGAAACUUCUCUGGGGCGACCCGGGCUCCAGGAUUCCCUCUGUGCCUGCGUCUCUCCGCUGCUGUGGACGCUGUCAUCCCAUGGCUGGUUCAGAGCCCACUGGGCCUCCAUACUGGAAGCGCCUCCUACUUCUGGAGGAGUCCAAAGUCUCUCUUCAAUUUCAGCCUUUGGUUCCUCGACACGUGGCUCUCUAUGGCGCUUCUGUCCUCUCUCAGCCUCAUAGGCGACUCUAUCCGGUGUGACUCUGCUGCCGCAUCUACUUUCAUGGCACUGAGGGUGCUGGCAGGAGAGGUGGCUCAGGGCCUCAAAAUUAUCCAGUGCCCAGGCCCAAGCCUGUUCUCGGUUCAUCUUUGGCGGCAUGUGGGGCUUUGGGUAGCACCUCCUUCCAGUCAGCUCCUCCGAGGCUGGUGGAGACCAAGCCAUAGCUUCAGUUGUGCAGCCUGGCUAAGCAGCAGAGCAGGGAAGAGGCACUGGAUGCUCUCCAGUGGUGGAACUGCCUUUAUAUAGUUUUCCCCUGGAGGUGCCUGCAGAUAUCCUAACCCACCCUGUGGGGAUUAGCCUAACCCACCCUGU